rnacentral:rRNA from 1 species
GACGAACGCUGGCGGCGUGCUUAACACAUGCAAGUCGAACGGAAAGGCCCAUCUUGCUGGGUACUCGAGUGGCGAACGGGUGAGUAACACGUGGGUUAUCUGCCCUCAACUUUGGGAUAAGCCUAGGAAACUGGGUCUAAUACCGGAUAUGAUCAACUGUCGCAUGGUGGUUGUUGGAAAGCUUUUGCGGUUGAGGAUGGGCCCGCGGCCUAUCAGCUUGUUGGUGGGGUAAUGGCCUACCAAGGCGACGACGGGUAGCCGGCCUGAGAGGGUGAUCGGCCACACUGGGACUGAGAAACGGCCCAGACUCCUACGGGAGGCAGCAGUGGUGAAUAUUGCACAAUGGGCGGAAGCCUGAUGCAGCGACGCCGCGUGAGGGAUGACGGCCUUCGGGUUGUAAACCGCUUUCACCAGGGACGAAGCGUGAGGGAAGGGACCUGGAGAAGAAGCAACGGCCAACUAAGUG